rnacentral:rRNA from 1 species
AGAGUUUGAUCAUGGCUCAGGAUGAACGCUGGCGGCGUGCCUAAUACAUGCAAGUCGAACGCUUCACUUCGGUGAAGAGUGGCGAACGGGUGAGUAAUACAUAAGUAACCUGGCAUCUACAGGGGGAGUAACUGAUGGAAACGUCAGCUAAGACCGCAUAGGUGUAGAGAUCGCAUGAACUCUAUAUGAAAAGUAGCUACGGGACUGGUAGAUGAUGGACUUAUGGCGCAUUAGCUUGUUGGUAGGGUAACGGCCUACCAAGGCGACGAUGCGUAGCCGACCUGAGAGGGUGACCGGCCACACUGGGACUGAGACACGGCCCAGACUCCUACGGGAGGCAGCA